CGCCAGAGGGUGAGUCUGCGGCCUAUCAGGUAGUAGGUGGUGUAACGGACCACCUAGCCUAAGACGGGUACGGGCCUUGAGAGAGGGAGCCCGGAGAUGGGUUCUGAGACACGAACCCAGGCCCUACGGGGCGCAGCAGGCGCGAAACCUUCGCACUGCGCGAAAGCGCGACGAGGGGAGCCCGAGUGCCUCUCCAUUUCGGGGAGGCUUUUCACAAGCCUAAAAAGCUUGUGGAAUAAGGGCUGGGCAAGACGGGUGCCAGCCGCCGCGGUAAUACCCGCAGCUCGAGUGGUGGUCGCUUUUAUUGAGCCUAAAACGUUCGUAGUCGGCCUUGUAAAUCCCUGGGUAAAUCGGACCGCUUAACGGUUCGAAUUCCGGGGAGACUGCAAGGCUAGGGACCGGGCGAGGUCAGAGGUACUUUCGGGGUAGGAGUGAAAUCCUGUAAUCCCGAAGGGACCACCUGUGGCGAAAGCGUCUGACUUGAACGGCUCCGACGAUGAGGAACGAAGGCUAGGGGAGCAAACCGGAUUAGAUACCCGGGUAGUCCUAGCUGUAAACUCUGCCCGCUUGGUGUGGCCUGUCCUUCGGGGGCAGGCUGUGCCGGAGCGAAGGUGUUAAGCGGGCUGCUUGGGGAGUACGGCCGCAAGGUUGAAACUUAAAGGAAUUGGCGGGGGAGCACCGCAACGGGAGGAUGCGUGCGGUUUAA
rnacentral:rRNA from 1 species